rnacentral:lncRNA from 1 species
CUGACAGUUUCAAACUGCAGUGAGGAAAUAAGGACGGCCCUGUGCAUUGGCCCAGAGCUUGAGCAACCUGCUGCCUGAUUGGCCCGAGGGCCAGGGGCGGGGCUCCGGAUGGUGGCGACCUGGAGAAGCCGGAAUUAAGUUACUCUGGGAGAGCCCCGCCCCCAGCUCGCGCCGGAUUUGAGGGGGCGGGGUCUUAGGGAGCCCCGCCCAGCGUUUGCGAGGCGGUGCUCAGUUCGAUUCUUUUUUUUUUUUNNNNNNNNNNNNNNNNNNNNNNNNUUUUAUUAAAUUUUAUUUUCCCACUGUACAGCAAGGGGGUCAGGUUAUCCUUACAUGUAUACAUUACAAUUACAGUUUUUUCUGAGGUGGCUUAGGAGGCAGAUUUUGUUAACGCCUGCGGAGCAGGGCUGAAGUCAGCUAGGGCGGAUCAAGAUGGUAAUGGGAGUGCCUCAAUCUGGAGAGCAAGUAAUGAGACCCUGCAUGUCCUCAGGUGACCUGUUGCUGAGACGUCAGAUUCCCCCAGAGACCCUACAGGUACCCAAGAUGGCUUCACCUCUCCUACUGCCCUGCUCUCUGUGCAGCUCUGCACUCCCAGACCCCUGCCGCAGGCACUGCCACUGGUGGUCCUGCUACAUCAGGGUGAAACCUCCCGGGUCAGAGACACUAAUGUCUCUGCUGAAUGCAUUGGUCCCUGCUGCUGGCAGAAUUGCUAGAGUCCUGCCUAUCAAUGUGGACACUGCUGGUGGCACUGAUGUGGUAAAGACUUCACAGCACAAUAGGGUCAGUGCUGAAGUGGGAAGGAUCUGUUUAUGUCUUUUGUCUUAAGCUUUUUAACUGGGUUCCAAGACAGAUCUUCCUGGUGUUGCCACUGACUAGAGAGAAUUUAGUUAAGGAACCUUUGGUUAGCUGCCUUCCUGAUCCCUGUUACAUAGAAUUAGUGCUGAGAAGUAGCUGUGCAUGUGUUUAAAAAACGUUCCGAGUCCUCCACCCUACCUCUGAAUGCAGAGGUAGGGACCUAGUUUCCCACAAUGUGAACAGAGCUGAUGUGUAUCAUUUCCAGGCCAAGGAGUUUAAGAAGUAGGUGUACCUCCUUUCUGGUCUUUCUUUCCUCUCUGUCUGGCUCAAAGACCUCAGGGAAUAUCAGAAUAUAGGAUGGAAGGAACCAGGACAUCCACUAUAGACUCUUCUAUAAGCAAGAAAUGUAUUUUCUACGCACUUAAAAUGAUUAAAACAGUAAGUUGCAUGUCACGUAUAGUUUACUUCAAUUAAAAAACCUAUUUCUACAGAGAUAAGUGACUGAAAAUUUGAGGUUUAUUUGUACAGCAGCUAAUGUUAUCCUGAUUGUUUCUCAGCUCCCCAAGUUUGUUCUAUUUUAGGCUUCGUUUCCCAGAACUCUGGUACAAGGCACACCCAGAGUGCAAUAGAAGCAACACUCAAAAUUCCUCCUCCCUUUUCACAUUGGCCCUUCGUCCUUGGGAAAUCUUUCUGUGUCUGGACCCCCUUAACACUGCUUUAAAGACCUUUCUAGAAACAGACUCNUAUAACUAUAAUUAUAUAGUUAUAUAUAUAUAUUAUAUAACUUGUCUUUUCCUAACCCUAACCCUAACCCCAGGGACAAGACCCCAGAGACAAGUUGCCUGGCUCUGAACCCCAGCUCCUUCCCUUUCUAGCUGUGUGACCCUAGGCAAGUUACUCACCCUCUGUGUGUCUCCAUUGUCUUAACUGCAAAUGGGGCAAUAACAUCACUUACCUUCAAAGGUUCUUGUGAGGAUCCAUGAGUCAAAAGAUACUGAAUACGCAAACCUGCCUGGAGUACACAUCCCUGCUACCUGUGUUAACUCUGCUACUAUUGAUAAUGUACCUUACAGCCCCUCCAGUCCUACUUACACAUGAGUGAAUCUUGGGAAAUAAUUUAAAUUUGAGCUGAGCUCAUUCCUACGAAAUAGUCAAAUGUCAUAUUAAUAAUAGAUCUAAUUUUCACAGAGAGAGAAAGGGCAGAUCCUUAUCUUUUGGAGUCUUAACCCCAAAGGUCCUUGAGUAUCUGUUAUGUAUCAAGCAAUGUGCCAGGCCAUUUCACAUAUAUUUUGCUAUUUGUCAUUACAAAAUUCUUCAUAAUUAAACCACUGGACAAGAAGAAUACAUUCACCAGAAAAAUUUAAUUUGAUGAAAUGAGGAAUCAUGAUGCAAUAUUAACUAUUCCUACAUAUUGCAAUAUUGUAUUGUAUAUUUAUCUCUAAAAUGUAGAAUUAUUUUUAGAAUAUUAUUUGUGCUUUAGAAUUUUUAUUAAUAAGAAAAAGGCAAAUAGAUAAAACCAGAUCAGUUAAAUAUUAUUUCUAUUUCAGAAGAAAAAUAACAUUAAAAAAUAUGAGAUUUUGCAAUCCUCCUCAAUUGUCACCUGUAUCUGUUUAAGAUAUAUGAUACAUAAUCCUAAUAUUAUAUAAAGCAUGCUCUAUUAUAUACCUUUAAAUAUAUAUAUAAUUCUAUUAAUAUGAAAGAAUAGAAAGUUCAUUUUAAAAG